AGAGUUUGAUUCUGGCUCAGGAUAAACGCUGGCGGCGUGCCUAAUACAUGCAAGUCGAACGAAGGGAACCAGUUACUGGUGAACUUAGUGGCGAACGGGUGAGUAAUACGUAAGCAACCUGCCCACGGAGACCGGGAUAAUCCCUGGAAACGGGGACUAAGACCGGAUAGGCAGCGGAGGGGCAUCCCACUGCUGUUAAAGAUGGAAAACACUGGUGGAUGGGCUUACGGUGCAUUAGCUUGUUGGUGAGGUAACGGCCCACCAAGGCGAUGAUGCAUAGCCGGCCUGAGAGGGUGAACGGCCACAUUGGGACUGAGACACGGCCCAGACUCCUACGGGAGGCAGCAGUAGGGAAUUUUCGGCAAUGGAGGAAACUCUGACCGAGCAACGCCGCGUGAAGUGAAGAAGGUCUUCGGAUUGUAAAGCUCUGUUGUAAGGGAAGAACGGUCUGUGGGGAACACAGGAGUGACGGUACCUUACCAGAAAGCCACGGCUAACUACGUGCCAGCAGCAGC
rnacentral:rRNA from 1 species